AACGAACGCUGGCGGCAUGCCUAACACAUGCAAGUCGAACGAGACCUUCGGGUCUAGUGGCGCACGGGUGCGUAACGCGUGGGAACCUGCCCUUAGGUUCGGAAUAACUCCCCGAAAGGGGUGCUAAUACCGGAUAAUGUCUUCGGCCCAACGAUUUAUCGCCUUUGGAUGGGCCCGCGUUGGAUUAGCUAGUUGGUAGGGUAAAAGCCUACCAAGGCGACGAUCCAUAGCUGGUCUGAGAGGACGAUCAGCCACACUGGGACUGAGACACGGCCCAGACUCCUACGGGAGGCAGCAGUGGGGAAGAAUGGACAAUGGGCGAAAGCCUGAUCCAGCAAUGCCGCGUGAGUGAGGAAGGCCUUAGGGUUGUAAAGCUCUUUUACCCGGGAUGAUAAUGACAGUACCGGGAGAAUAAGCUCCGGCUAACUCCGU
rnacentral:rRNA from 1 species